rnacentral:rRNA from 1 species
CUACCCUUGACAUCGAGAGAACUUUCCAGAGAUGGAUUGGUGCCUUCGGGAACUCUCAGACAGGUGCUGCAUGGCUGUCGUCAGCUCGUGUUGUGAAAUGUUGGGUUAAGUCCCGUAACGAGCGCAACCCUUGUCCCUAUUUGCCAGCGAUUCGGUCGGGAACUCUAGGGAGACUGCCGGUGACAAACCGGAGGAAGGUGGGGACGACGUCAAGUCAUCAUGGCCCUUACGGCCAGGGCUACACACGUGCUACAAUGGCCGGUACAGAGGGCCGCAAACUCGCGAGAGUAAGCUAAUCCCUUAAAGCCGGUCCUAGUCCGGAUUGCAGUCUGCAACUCGACUGCAUGAAGCUGGAAUCGCUAGUAAUCGCGGAUCAGAAUGCCGCGGUGAAUUCGUUCCC